UUUUUUGUUUUUUUUUUUUGCUAUUUCUUGGGCCGCUCUCGCAGCAUAUGGAGGUUCCCAGGCUAGGGGUCGAAUUGGAGCUGUAGCCACCGGCCUACGCCAGAGCCACAGCAACGCGGGAUCCGAGCCGUGUCUGCAACCUACACCACAGCUCAUGGCAACCCCGGAUCGUUAACCCACUGAGCAAGGGCAGGGACUGAACCCGCAACCUCAUGGUUCCUAGUUGGAUUCGUUAACCACUGCGCCACGACGGGAACUCCCUUCCAUCCCAUCUAAACUUCUACAUCAGCGUAACCUUCCAAAGCUAGAGGUCCUUGAUCCUCAAGCACAAAUAGAGUCUGUGACCUGGAACCCUAUGGAGGCGCCCAACUGCUGGUUUAGGAGAGCAGAUGGCAGGUUUGACUCCUCAUCGGCUAAGCCAAUGAUGGUAAAUGUUAGACAAUUCAAGAGAGAUUCAAGUACCAAAAGGGACCCAGACAACCAGAGACCCCCGUCCUCUAAGAUGUCACCCCUUCCUAGCUUAACAGCUCUGCCAGUCAUUGCAAAUCACCAUACAGCACCAAUGAUUGAUAUUGCAACUAGUACAGCCUGACAGGAUCCCUGCUUCUGUCAAGGACCCCCCAAUAAAGAAUUUGACAAUUGGGAAGCAACAAGUACAGAGACGAGAAGGGAAGGACAUGAGUGAGUUUAUUACUCAGAGUGAUGUGUUCACUUCGGUCCUGUCAUGACUCAUAAGACAGUUCUUCUGUUUCACUAAUUGCAGUGUGUUUCUUGCUCUUCUCUCUCUGUUGUCUAAUUUAGCUGUGAGCUUUCUGUUCUCAACAGUACAGACAGGCUUCUCCCUUCUACCCUGCCUGCACCCCCGCAGGGUAGGCCCCACAUUCACUGGUCAUGUCCAACCAGCACCGCUGUAGGUCUAUCAGACUCAAUAAGUCCAAAACACAGCUCAGUGAUUUCUUCAGCAAGUGCUCGGCUUUCCGAAUUCUCUAUUAGUCAAUAAUAACCUCCAAACUGAAGGCCAUUUUGAUUCUUCCCUCAGGCCUGUUUUUGGCCCAUUUUAUUUCCUGAAAAUGUCUCUUGUCUCUUCCCUUCUUCCCACCCCAACAUCAACCCUCAAUUUUUGACCUUCAGUGACUGUCACCUGCACUGGCUGCAGCAAGAGCCACCCAGCCAGCUGCUGUGUCUCCAGCUGCCCCAGGCCAGCCUCCACACACUGCCAGACCCGUGGCGCCUUCUUAAUGAGAGCUCUUUAACAGUUCCCCUUUACCACUAAAAAAAGUCCACCAUGGAGUUCCUGUCAUGGCUCAGUGGUUAACGAACCCAACUAGUAUCCAUGAGGACACUGGUUCAAUCCCUGGCCUUGCUCAGAGGGUUGAGGAUCUGGUGUUACAUGAGCUGUGGUGUAGGUCAUAGACGUGGUUUGGCUGUGGCUUAGGCCUGCAGCUACAGCUCCAGUUCAACCCCUAGCUGGAGAACAUCCAUAUGCUGAGGGUGAGGCCCUAAAAAGACAAAGGACCAAAAGAAACCCAGUCCACCUGCUCACUUCCAUGGUCUUUCUGCUGGCAGCCCGGCUGGCCUCACCUACUUCUGCCCCGACUUAGCCUCAUGCUCUACCCACAGAGGCUCCAAGCACACCUCUUGUGACUUGGCUCCUGCCUACCCCUCUGCCUGGAAUGCCCCUUUCUUUGGCCGCUCCUGUUCCUACUUAAGACUGAACAUAAGUAUCUCUUCAUCCUCCUGGAAGCUUUCUCAGACUCCCCUCGGCUCCACGUCCUCACACUGGAUUAAUCCCACCUCCUCUGUAUUUCCAUAAUCUCUUUGGCAUGUCACUGCUGUUGCAUGUGCCAAAAUAUCCUACCCUCCUUGGGAUCAGGAGCCAUGUUGUGCAUGAUAGGAACUCAACAAAUGUGGGAUCAAUGAGCAUGUUGUGUUAAAGGAACAUCUAACGGUAAAGGGAAUAAACACUGCCACAUGACAGACACUCUGUAGGCAGCACCUCAAUGAAGCAUCACAUGAACUCCACGCACCAAGUAUGUUGCCCUCAUCCAUAUACCAUGGAGGAAACUAAGGCUCAGAGAGGGUAAGUAACUGGCUCAGAGAUGACCAAAAGGAAUUCAAACCCAUAUCUACACUUCCGUAACCAUGCCCUUCCCUUCUGACCUGCAGAAGCAAGCUCCUUAACUCUCAGAAGGUCUCCAGGAAGGCAGGCAGGGAGACCAACUUCCUGGAGCUCAAGACUUGCUGUCCUGCUCCAUUCGCUCCUGCUGCUCUGCCAGCCUCCUCUCCUGGCUCUGCUAGUCUGCAGGCACAGAGCUGGGCUUCCUCGGCUGCCAUAUCACAUUGCAAGACUUCUAUCUAAUUUGCCGUUCCCUCUCUCCCUAAGGACACAUUUAUGUUAGUACUUUAAAGGCAAGCUUCUUGCGAUGAAGCAAGCACGAAUCCAUUUUUCACUGGCAUUCACAUUAUGGGAAAUGCGGUGCUUUAUAUAUUAACGAGUAAUUUUCUUGGCCUAAUGCAGUUGGAAAUUCAAUAAAUGUCGUUUAAGCCCAAUUUUCCCACUUGUAGGUCAGAGAGUAGCCUCUUGGGGGUGGGGAGAAAGUUCCCACAUAUUUCCUUGUCCUCCUCCCUGCCCUCAUACCCACCAUCCCCGUCUGUAGGUUCAGUAUGACCAUCACUACCAGCCAGCAUGGCUGAAGACCCAAGCACCAUGGGCCAAGGGGACCUCAAGGGCCACCAUGUCUUUCCUCUUCACCUCCAAACUCAUGGCUGUCUCUUGAUGUCUGCCUGUGGCCAGGCCCUUCAAGCAUCUCUCCAAUGGGCUGAAGUUCCACCCUGAGAAAGAUCAUGCCUCUGAGUUAAGCAUUGCCUAACUCACCCCUUCUUUUUUAGAAUGAAAAUGCUCUGUUAAGUCCUUCAGUUCUUUGAGUUCAUUGUUUGAUUUUGAGAACCAGGUCAAUUUGUGGUUUGACCUUGGGUUUGAAAGGGUUAAGGAAAAUGAACAGGCAGAGGCGAACACUCUGCCUUUGAGGUUCUUCCAAGGCUGACCCUCUGGCAGGGAGGAGCUGGGCUGGGGUGGCGGGGGCGGGGGGGCAGGCAGAACAGGAAGCUGCCUCUGGCCCCACACUGGGAGAGAGUAGACAUCACCUUUGGGCAGGACAUAUUUUCCCAGCUCUGAGCACAGGACCCUGGGACAUUUAGGAAAAUGGGUCUAGGUCUGCUCUCUGCAUUGAAUAAUAACUCAGUAAAAUCUCAAUUAAAACCGAGUCAUAAAUCACAUUUAAUGUUGCCCUGAUGGGUUGAAUCUAAUAUGCCAGGACUAUUAAUCAUCUGCCAGGCCCUGGAAUCCCAGCUUCCAUCUUCUGAGGAUUCAAGGGUUAAGGGCUUUUUCUCCCUCCUCUGUCAUCACUUAAUCAGACCUCAGAGAGCAAAGGCCAGGGUGUGUGGGGAGUUUGCCAUGUCCUGAAUGUGGCUGGGGAGCCCAGUUGGGAAAGAUAGCCCAGAUCUCUAAACAGGGUUUUUGUCUGCUGGGUGUGGACCAUUGGGUGGGAUGGUGACAUGCAGAUGCAGUUGUAGGAGCUAGACAGACAAUCUGUUAGGCUGAACAAGUUAACCAUGGGCCAGACAACGCCUGUUCUUCCAAAAAGCAGUGGGCCUCAGACGUCUGGGGGAAGAAACAGGAUGCCCUGACAUAGCACAUCAGUGACAAGGAGCACCCUCCCCCAUACCAGGGAGCUGGUAGAUACCCUGGUCAGCCCUAGUCAGCCCAGGAAGACACAGUCAUGGUGUCAGGGCCCCAUAACUGGACAGAGAUUAAGGACAGGACCUGGGUCGCUGGGAUGGUGCAGUCCCAGCCUGGAGAGACAGGAGCAUACAGAUCUCCUGGGAGAUGGAAGGCUUCGAGUUGGGACAGAGGCCAAGCGACCAGCUGGGGAAACUGGGUUCCACAGAAACCAGAGGAAGCAAAGGGUCUUUUCCGAGGCCUCAGGGAACUCAAGGAGCCAAACUGGCAUCCACUAGAAAAGCCAAAGCUGGAGUGGCUAGAAGAUGAACUCUGAAGCCAGAGACUGGUAUUUGAUGCCUAGCUGUGCGGCCCUGAGCCAGGCUCUUCACCCUCCCACCCCCACCCCCAAGCCUCAGCUUCCCUAACUAUAACACGAGAGUCAAAGAAUUUAAUUCCCAGGACUUUUUUGAGGAUUAAAAGGCAUAAUAGUGGCCAGUAUGAUACCUACAUGCAGCAAGCUGGGGGUCACCGUUAUACUAACCUCACAGGUCAGGAGAAUCCUGUGGUUGGUGUAACGAUGAAAGAUUUCUUUUGCAUAGCAAGUUCAAGAGACCAGAGGCAGAAGGUCAAGGCUGCAGAACCAGGGUCUGAGUUGGUAAAACAGGGCUGGACUAUGAAAAGGUGAGGGCCAAGUGAGAAUUGUCUUAAGCCACCCCACACCACCUUGGUAGGUCAAACAGCAGGUCAGCCAAUUGGAGGGCCUUAGGGGACCAGAGGAGGGAGGGUGUGGGCAGACUGCCACACUGGGCAUCCAGUUCAAAGGGUCAGUCCUGGCUCCAGAGGGCAGCCUGGGCCAUGAGCAGGGCUGCUUCAGAGAAAGGACAAGGUGGAGCUCUUAGACACUUCUUUACUUUCUCCAUCCCUACCUCCUUCUUUCAACAUAUAUUUCUGGGUCCUCUGUGCUAUGUGCCAGGCACUAAAAUCUUGACCCUAGGAAACCAAACAAAGCCAACCCAGAGGGGGAUGCAGAGACUGGUAAACAGGGCUGUACUGACUCCAAGGGAAAAGCAAGUACAUUCUUACUUAAAAAAAAAAAAAAAAAAAAAAA
rnacentral:lncRNA from 1 species